AACACCCGAAGCCGGUGGCCUAACCGUAAGGAGGGAGCCGUCGAAGGUGGGGCAGAUGAUUGGGGUGAAGUCGUAACAAGGUAGCCGUAUCGGAAGGUGCGGCUGGAUCACCUCCUUUCUAAGGAA
rnacentral:rRNA from 1 species